rnacentral:rRNA from 1 species
AUUGAACGCUGGCGGCAGGCCUAACACAUGCAAGUCGAGCGGAUGAAGGGAGCUUGCUCCUGGAUUCAGCGGCGGACGGGUGAGUAAUGCCUAGGAAUCUGCCUGGUAGUGGGGGAUAACGUCCGGAAACGGGCGCUAAUACCGCAUACGUCCAGAGGGAGAAAGUGGGGGAUCUUCGGACCUCACGCUAUCAGAUGAGCCUAGGUCGGAUUAGCUAGUUGGUGGGGUAAAGGCCUACCAAGGCGACGAUCCGUAACUGGUCUGAGAGGAUGAUCAGUCACACUGGAACUGAGACACGGUCCAGACUCCUACGGGAGGCAGCAGUGGGGAAUAUUGGACAAUGGGCGAAAGCCUGAUCCAGCCAUGCCGCGUGUGAAGAAGGUCUUCGGAUUGUAAAGCACUUUAAGUUGGGAGGAAGGGCAGUAAGUUAAUACCUUGCUGUUUUGACGUUACCAACAGAAUAAGCACCGGCUAACUUCGUG